AAAGACCAGUCAUUUUCACUGGUUUUGGUAGAAAUAGCUUCGUGUUAACUAUCGGUAGUUCUAGCGUUAAAUUAUAAAUAAUAAUGUUCGAAACAGAUGGAAGAUGAAAAAUCUGUUUCCUUCAAAGUGCACACUUUUCAAGAAUAUUUGCAGACGUCAACCAUACGGAGCAAGUCUCAACAAAACAACAUUUCAUUAUCUCCAAAGACAAUCCUGCUCGUUUUUUAAAAUAAACUAGCAAUAUUUUGAAAAAAGACUACACGCAGUCUACAUAUUUUUAACGAAUACAAACGACCGCCUACGUAUCUUCAAUAAUUGGAUAGAAAAAAAAGAGAAGCUGACUAUAUCGCUGCUUGGCAUCAACUGAACAUAGUGGUGCAACUGAAAAAAUGUAAAUUUUAGAGGAGAGGCUUUUUAACAUUUACAGAAAGAUGUUCGUGAGUCGUUUCAACGAGGUCGCGAGGCUGACCUGACUCGGCAUAUGCCACUGUUCGCGAAAACGAUACAGCCUUUCGCUUAUAGCGUCAAGAACAACCGAAGAUGAACAAGUGUCGUAAAACUAAGGCCAGGUCGAUAGCGGCGGAGUUUUCAAAAAUACACGAUAUGUAUGGUACAUUGGUUGGAACAACGGUUUGGACGAUCCGUCGGCAAAGAAAAAUCGCACUCUGUCCUCGCUUCGUGACGCUUCGAGAGCAUCCAAGCCGUGACCUUAACUAACUGGAAUUAGUGUGGCAACGAGAAAAUUAUCACGGUCGUUUAGCAAUCAUCCUACACGAUCGUUCGAGUUAAUGCGAAAGCCGCGUACGCGAAAAUUAAAUUCUCAAAUGAAAUGCAGUUAUUGUAAUUGAUACGCCGCUGGCGCGUCUCGCCUCUUCGUCGCUUUUCUUCUUUCUUGCAAUAAAUAAAGUUACGCAAUGUAAAAAUAAAAGAAUUUCCUCGGAAAAAACACCGAUAAAUCAUCGUUUAUUUACUUCGAGAUAUCGUGCAAACAAUUUAAUUCAAAUGCUAGUAACUCGAAGAUAAUAACAAAUAUCUUCUUUCCCUGAAUUAACGUGGAAUUAACAAAGUUUUCCAUCUCGAGCGAUCACUCGUGACGCGACGUUCGAUGUUUCAUGAUGCCAACAAUGAGAGAUCAUUAACCGCCUAUUUAUUUUAAGACAUUGCAUUAUCUUUAGAAAAAAGCGUAAUACCAAGCAACGAAAUUGCUCAACUAUGUUUUGGUGUAUUUAUAUUUUCGUUGAACCGAGUGCGAUCUCUCACAAUCAUGAAAAUAAAAAAUUCGACAACUUAUGAACUUGUCGCGAUCUCUGAAACUAUAGUACAAACUAUAUCCUCCACCCUUUCACUGAAUAGUUUCUCCACUAGCGAUACGUACGACACAUCGAUCGGGUACCAAACAAUCUCGCUGUUGCACUUGAAAGUGUUGAGAAGAUAUUUAGCAACACGACACCGGCGUUAAAUGCACACAAUCACGUUCAUAAGACACCGGACAGUUGGUAAUGUUGAACACGAUAUUUAUUAACGUAGGUUUGUAAUAACGGUUUAAAAACAUCGACUAAUCAACCAGUAUUUAAAUACCUACACGCGUUAAAUCAAACGUUCCAAGUAUCCUUCAACAAAAAUAGAAACCGAGCGGAAGGAAAUUCAAGGACGAAAUUUCGUUCCAGAAGGAUUCUGGAAGAUUAAUUCCCGUGUCAGACAACGCUGGCGUGUGGACAUGGCGUGGUCGAACAUGCGAUCAGAGAUUUUUCCUCUUUUUUAUUACGAGACAAGCAUGAAUUCCCUAUGGUACAACGAUAACCGUAUUAUCGUGUUCGAACGUUUGACGUCCACGUGCACGUGUCUAUCAUCGCUUCGUGUCUAAAACGAACUCUGCGAUCGGCAGUUGUAAUCGUGGCAAAAGGACUGCAAGAAACAGUGCCUUUAUUUCUCUUGGAAAAAUAGAAAAGAAAAGAAAUUCUAUUAAUCGCAGCUGCGAUCUUCGUUUAUGCAAUUGUUUUGUCGGAGGACGAAAAUAAAUAAAUGUUAUGAAAACUUGAAAGAGUUGAUUCGACAUUACAAUUUUUUGAGAAAAUAACUCUCGAUUUCUUCUAUGAUGAAAACAGUAUUAUUGGAUUGGCAAUUAAGUGAUUACCAUUUAAUGACAAAAUCCGUGAUCACUUAGUUGCCAACCCAAUGAUUUAAGAAAAUGUAGCCUAUGAUUAUCUAAUAAGAUACGUAAUGAACGUGGAAAUAAAGAUAUUCUGUGUCUUGUAAUAAAUAAUAAUAAAUCUUAUAAUAAUAAGAAUAAUACAGAUUCUUCGAUCUCGAUGAAAUCGGUGAUAAUUUGUUGAAAAAGAAAAUCGAGAAAUAUUUGAUACGCGACUGGCAUAGCGUACAGUCAGUUUUUUCUCCGUUGAAGAGAUGUGAAGUUUCCGAAAGGAUAGAACAUGGAAGACAAACACAGCGUGGCGCAUAGAUAAUGGAAUUGCAAAUGAUAAAAAUACACUGAUCUACAGAACGCGUUGUCGUCAAAGCGUGAACGGUAUA